rnacentral:rRNA from 1 species
CGGGACACGUGGUAUCCUGUCUGAAUAUGGGGGGACCAUCCUCCAAGGCUAAAUACUCCUGACUGACCGAUAGUGAACCAGUACCGUGAGGGAAAGGCGAAAAGAACCCCGGCGAGGGGAGUGAAAAAGAACCUGAAACCGUGUACGUACAAGCAGUGGGAGCCUCUUUAUGGGGUGACUGCGUACCUUUUGUAUAAUGGGUCAGCGACUUAUAUUCUGUAGCAAGGUUAACCGAAUAGGGGAGCCGAAGGGAAACCGAGUCUUAACUGGGCGUUAAGUUGCAGGGUAUAGACCCGAAACCCGGUGAUCUAGCCAUGGGCAGGUUGAAGGUUGGGUAACACUAACUGGAGGACCGAACCGACUAAUGUUGAAAAAUUAGCGGAUGACUUGUGGCUGGGGGUGAAAGGCCAAUCAAACCGGGAGAUAGCUGGUUCU